CCCGCCGAGGCUGUCCUCCGGCCUCACCUCGUCUCUGGGUGUAGCAUUUCUCUUAUCUCCAUUUCACAAAUAAGGAAAUUGAGGUUUAGAGAAGUUCACUUUCCUAGGAUCAUAUGGCCUACUAUGUGAGACUGCCUAGCAUGCUGUGCAGAUGAAAGAUAUGUGGAGGAACCAGCUGUCUCAGCUGAGCCCAGACACCAGCUGGGAGGAUGCAGCUGCAUGAGUGAGCUGGAGAGACCAACAGCUACCCAGGCAACCAUCAGAAUGCAGGAAAAAGGGAAUGUGAGGAGCCGUCUGGCAGCUGAGCAGUACCCUUCGCCUGGGAGACAUCCCAGGCGCUCCUGUUAGAGGAACAGCGACUCUGAAAUGGAAUAGUAGGAGCAGGUGCUGACUAGCCCGCGGGAUGAUGUGUGUCUUCACUCAGGCACAGUAACACGGACACUUCAAAAUAAAGCUCCAUUAAUGUCAAUAAA